rnacentral:rRNA from 1 species
AGCGAACGCUGGCGGCAGGCUUAACACAUGCAAGUCGAGCGGGCGUAGCAUUACGUCAUCGGCUGACGGGUGGGUAACGGGUGGGAACGUACGUUUUUAUUCGGAACUACACAUGGGAACUUGUUCUAGUACCGGAUAAGCCCUUACGGGCGAAGAUUUUUCGCCGUAGGAUGGGCGCGAGUCUGAUUGUCUGUGUGGUUGGGUUACGGCACACCAAGGCGGCGAUUAGUAGCUGGUCUGACAGGCUGAUCAGCGACAUUUGGGCUAAGACGCGGACCAAACUCCUACGGAAGGGAGCAGAGGAGAAUAUUGGACAAUGGGGGCAACUCUGAUCCAGCCAUGCGGGGGAAGACAUGAAGGCGGUAGGGUAGUAAAGCUCUUUUGGGCGGGAAGAUAAUGACGGUACCGCAAGAAUAAGCCCCGGCUAACUUCGUG